rnacentral:tRNA from 1 species
GCCCGAAUGGCGGAAUUGGUAGACGCGCUAGGUUCAGGGUCUAGUGGGAGUACUCCCGUACAGGUUCGAGUCCUGCUUCGGGCA